rnacentral:lncRNA from 1 species
ACUCACUCUCCUGCUCUGCCCUGGUAAGACGCCCCAGUAAGACGAUGCUUGCUUCCCCUUCGCCUUCUGCCAUGAUUUUAAGUUUCCUGAAGCCUCUCAGCCAUGCUUCCAGUUAAGCCUGCGGAACUGAGCUGGACAGAAGUUUGUAUUACAGGCUCGUAGCACCGGAGGUUUCUGAUGGAGCAGACAACUUGAGGAAGGCCGGCCUUGCUGAACACAGUGGACUGACCGGGUCUGGACCCCUCCCCCACAGGUGACUGUGCACUGCAGCAGAGAGAAGAGGAAGGAGUCAGAAACACUCUACUGAGAUCCUCCCAGAUAGAUAACGUACGUACAUAUUGAUACCUCUACCCGGACUCUGUGAUUAAUGGUGAGGUGGGGAGCACCCGAGUCCUCUGAACUGAACAGCUGUGCAGCAACAUCUGCUGGGUGGAAUGCUGGAAGGACCGCGUCACACACCAAUCCUAGCUAAAGUUUCACCCAAGUCUUCUGAAAAGAAGGGUGCCUCUAGCAUCUGAUAAGUUUAAAAGCGAAGUAUCCUUGGCUGAAUUGCCUGACAUUCUGAGCUUUAGGGACCAUACUACCCCUGAAUAGGAGUACUUAGCACCGUGCAUAGUAAUAGCUUGACAAAUAUUAGCUAUUACAUUGUUCAGAAACAUGAUGUAAGAACCAAAUGAGUAAAGGCUGUGAGCAGCAUUUCUAAAACA